UGGGGAAUAUUGGACAAUGGGCGAAAGCCUGAUCCAGCCAUGCCGCGUGUGUGAAGAAGGCUUUUUGGUUGUAAAGCACUUUAAGUGGGGAGGAAAAGCUUAUGGUUAAUACCCAUAAGCCCUGACGUUACCCACAGAAUAAGCACCGGCUAACUCUGUGCCAGCAGCCGCGGUAAUACAGAGGGUGCAAGCGUUAAUCGGAAUUACUGGGCGUAAAGCGCGCGUAGGUGGUUAUUUAAGUCAGAUGUGAAAGCCCCGGGCUUAACCUGGGAACUGCAUCUGAUACUGGAUAACUAGAGUAGGUGAGAGGGGAGUAGAAUUCCAGGUGUAGCGGUGAAAUGCGUAGAGAUCUGGAGGAAUACCGAUGGCGAAGGCAGCUCCCUGGCAUCAUACUGACACUGAGGUGCGAAAGCGUGGGUAGCAAACAGGAUUAGAUACCCUGGUAGUCCACGCCGUAAACGAUGUCUACCAGUCGUUGGGUCUUUUAAAGACUUAGUGACGCAGUUAACGCAAUAAGUAGACCGCCUGGGGAGUACGGCCGCAAGGUUA
rnacentral:rRNA from 1 species